AUUGAACGCUGGCGGCAUGCCUAACACAUGCAAGUCGAACGAGUGGCGGACGGGUGAGUAAUGUCCGGGCAACUGCCCGAUGGAGGGGUAUAACUACUGGAAACGGUAGCUAAUACCGCAUACCAUCAGAUGUACCCAUAUGGGAUUAGCUUGUGGGGGGGGUAACGGCUCACCAAGGAGACGAUCCCGAUAUGGUCUGAGAGGAUGACCAGCCACACUGGAACUGAGACACGGUCCAGACUCCUACGGGAGGCAGCAGUGGGGAAUAUUGCACAAUGGGCGCAAGCCUGAUACAGCCAUGCCGCGUGUAUGAAGAAGGCCUUCGGGUUGUAAAGUACUUUCAGCGGGGAGGCGGUACCCGCAGAAGAAGCACCGGCUAACUCCGUGCCAGCAGCCGCGGUAAUUC
rnacentral:rRNA from 1 species